rnacentral:rRNA from 1 species
GUAGUCAUAUGCUUGUCUCAAAGAUUAAGCCAUGCAUGUCUAAGUAUAAGCAAUUAUACCGCGAAACUGCGAAUGGCUCAUUAUAUAAGUUAUCGUUUAUUUGAUAGUACCUUACUACUUGGAUAACCGUGGUAAUUCUAGAGCUAAUACAUGCUAAAAAUCCCGACUUCGGAAGGGAUGUAUUUAUUAGAUUAAAAACCAAUGCCCUUCGGGGCUCACUGGUGAUUCAUGAUAACUCCUCGAAUCGCAUGGCCUUGUGCCGGCGAUGGUUCAUUCAAAUUUCUUCCCUAUCAACUUUCGAUGUUUGGGUAUUGGCCAAACAUGGUUGCAACGGGUAACGGAGGGUUAGGGCUCGACCCCGGAGAAGGAGCCUGAGAAACGGCUACUACAUCCAAGGAAGGCAGCAGGCGCGCAAAUUACCCAAUCCCGACACGGGGAGGUAGUGACAAUAAAUACUGAUACAGGGCUCUUUUGGGUCUUGUAAUUGGAAUGAGUACAAUUUAAAUCCCUUAACGAGGAACAAUGGAAGGCAAGUCUGGUGCCAGCAGCC